CCUGCCGCGCCCCCGGGACGCAGCGCGCACGCAACCGCGUUUCCGGCGAGACCUGGGUGCUGUGUCCCGCGGCUUGCCCUCCAUUGUGCACCCUGCGGGCCUUCGGGAGAGUGCCUUUGCAUUGGUUUGGCUUUGGCUACACAGCGCUGGUUGUUUCUGGUGGGAUCGUUGGCUAUGUAAAAACAGGCAGGGUGCCGUCCCUGGCUGCAGGGCUGCUCUUCGGCAGUCUAGCCGGCCUGGGUGCUUACCAGCUGUAUCAGGAUCCAAGGAACGUUUGGGGUUUCCUAGCCGCUACAUCUGUUACUUUUGUUGGUGUUAUGGGAAUGAGAUCCUACUACUAUGGAAAAUUCAUGCCUGUAGGUUUAAUUGCAGGUGCCAGUUUGCUGAUGGCCGCCAAAGUUGGAGUUCGUAUGUUGAUGACAUCUGAUUAGCAGAAGUCAUGUUCCAGCUUGGACUCAUGAAGGAUUAAAAAUCUGCAUCUUCCACUAUUUUCAAUGUAUUAAGAGAAAUAAGUGCAGCAUUUUUGCAUCUGACAUUUUACCUAAAAAAAAAAGACACCAAAUUUGGCGGAGGGGUGGAAAAUCAGUUGUUACCAUUAUAACCCUACAGAGGUGGUGAGCAUGUAACACGAGCUUAUUGAGACCCUCAUAGAGAUCGAUUCUUGUAUAUUGAUUUUAUCUCUUCUUUCUGUAUCUAUAGGUAAAUCUCAAGGGUAAAAUGUUAGGUGUUGACAUUGAGAACACUGAAACCCCAUUCCCUGCUCAGAGGAACAGUGUGAAAAAAAUCUCUCGAGAGAUUUAGAAUAUCUUUUCUUUUGCUCAUCUUAGACCACAGACUGACUUUGAAAUUAUGUUAAGUGAAAUAUCAAUGAA
rnacentral:sRNA from 1 species